rnacentral:lncRNA from 1 species
CUCCCAACAACAAGGUACAUUUUCUUAUCAUGAGGCUUUGGAAAAGCAACUUUUCCAGAAACUCUCAAGUCAGCAGAGCAAUUUUCUUGGGAGCAAAUUCUUGCAAAAACAAACUUGCUUUUUAUAAUAUCUUUUUCUUUCCUCCUUUGAAGAACAGGUGGGAGUGCAGAAAGUUCUUGAUUAUCUCUUUUCUGUAGAAUUUGUUGCCCCAGAUGAUAACUUGCUUCAACAUGUACAGGAGUCAAGAUAUCCCUUACAUCUUUCCUCAUAAAUGCCAGAUGACCUUUGCAGGCAAUUAUUUUUCUGUUAAUCUUUAUACUUCCAGAGGUUGUUUCAGAUGUUCCAUUGGCAGAAAAAUAAAAUCUUGCUUGCGUAUCCACUCUUCUCUUCACAUCAACACUCAGAUUAUAAAACAUUUCAGUAUUAUCAGGUACCCCUUGUCCUGUGUAGUUAAAGCAUAUCUGCAGAUUCACACAGAUGGCAGGCUGGUCAUUUUCCAUGCAGUUCAAAUUAGUUCGAUUUAUUGACUUUGGGUGUUUUAAGAAAGCUUCAACAAUUAUCACUGGUUUUGUUCUCAGCACCACAGCAGAAUCGGAUAGAAAUGCACCAACUGCUAUAUCUUGAUAGCCAUUGUUAUCUGCAUCAAUACCGCUUGCUAUGGACUGUCCAAACAUGCUUAAAGAAGUACUGACUUGCUGUGCUGGUAUUCUCUGUGAAAAUGAUGGAGUUAUUCCAUCUUCCCUGCCAUUGUAUAUAUAAAUAGCUCCUUUUAGAUCAUCUUCUUGUGGAGCCCCAAUUGCUACAUCUUCAAAACCAUCAUUAUCAAUGUCUCCUAGAUUGGUUAUGGACUCCCCAAAUCUGGCUGCAUAUGAGUCACUCCCACUGAGCUCUAUGUCCAGUUCUACCAUCUCUGCCUUAGAACCUGAAUUGAUAUAGACAUAAACUCUUCCUUCUUCUCUGAUGGUACUUUCCAUGGGAGC